UUGUAAAAACAAUGUUAUUUACUGCUUUAUAUAAAGAAAUACAAUUAAUAUUAUGCAGAAUUUAGUUCAGCCUUUUGGUCCGGCCCUCCACUAAAUUUUCUGUUUCUCAUGUGGCCCCAUGGAAAAAAUAAUUGCCCACCCCUGUUUUAGUGAGUAUGGUGACUGAGCUCGUUCUUACCGUUAGUUGCUAAGCUACUACUGUUAGCAUGUAAAUGGAGUUAGCUGACUAUCGUGCACCUUCACAGGAGCGAAGGAGACCUGCGUUGGGCUGCAUGUAGGAAGCCUGGGAUUAUUUACAAGUUUCUGAUGUGCUUCAGACAUCGCCACUCAUGCUGCUGCAAUAGAGGUGCUCAGGACUUGCAGCUGCCAGGGACUUUCUGCACGUGGACCGAGUUUUUCUUCUUCCUCCUGCUCGCUGUGUGUGGAAGAUUUGAAUGGUCUGUUACUACCAUCUUUCUGAGUUUCCAAGGGACUGAGAGUACUAACUCUUCUCCAGCUGAGGGUUACAUAUGAGCUCCAACAGCGCAGCAACGAACAUGCUACCAUAGACUGAGUUAGAAAAUCCCGGCCCCCCGUCCCUGUGCAAGACGUGUUUGUGGAACCCAUCCUCCUCUCCCCGCGUCUUCUCACAAGCAGUAGCCGGUGCGAGCGGGAGCGAGCCGUCAUACAAAAUGAAAAGAGGAGCAACAAAAACCAACUGACAGCUUUAACUUGUUGGUGCAACAAAAAGAGGAAAGCCUCUGCCCAA